rnacentral:rRNA from 1 species
CCCUGGCUCAGGACGAACGCAGGCGGCGUGCUUAACACAUGCAAGUCGAGCGGUAAGGCCCUUCGGGGUACACGAGCGGCGAACGGGUGAGUAACACGUGGGUGAUCUGCCCUGCACUUCGGGAUAAGCCUGGGAAACUGGGUCUAAUACCGGAUAUGACCAAAGGCUGCAUGGCUUUUGGUGGAAAGGUUUACUGGUGCAGGAUGGGCCCGCGGCCUAUCAGCUUGUUGGUGGGGUAAUGGCCUACCAAGGCGACGACGGGUAGCCGACCUGAGAGGGUGACCGGCCACACUGGGACUGAGACACGGCCCAGACUCCUACGGGAGGCAGCAGUGGGGAAUAUUGCACAAUGGGCGAAAGCCUGAUGCAGCGACGCCGCGUGAGGGAUGAAGGCCUUCGGGUUGUAAACCUCUUUCAGCAGGGACGAAGCGAAAGUGACGGUACCUGCAGAAGAAGCACCGGCUAACUA